UGCCUGGAGUGAAGAUUCUGCCCAUUGGUCAAGAGACCUCCCUCUCAGAUGCUGGCUCUGCCCCUGCCUUUGGGGGUCGACCCUUGUACUCGCAGGACCUUAGGUGACUCUAUUCUACUUCUCUGAUCAUCCAGGAAGCCAACCUGCCUGAGGACGAGUCAUACUCUGUCCUCCCACCCCAGGCCAGAGAGUGGUAUCUGUCUGUCCACAAGUUAAAGCACAGGUGGUGAAGGGUCUCAUUUCAAGUUGUUGUGGUUUUCUGCCAUGGAGGAAAGUGUUGAAAAAAAGGGAACUAUACAGCAUAAAGAUGGGUUUUCACAGAUCCUGUCAAGGGAUCUGAAUGAUGCAGUGUUGCAAUCCCAUUUUAUAAAUGAGGCAACCAAAACUCGAACAGGACCAUAUUGCGACUGAAACAAGGCAUAACAGGUCUUUGACUGGCUAUCCUGUGGGUGUGGACUCAGGCUAGCCUGCGCAAAGUGGUGAGCAAGGUGGUUGGGAAAAUCAAAGGAGGGGGUAAGGUAGUGGCAGGUAACUAUCGAUAAUCUGCUCUUCUUCACAGAAAGACAGGCAAUUAGAUUGAAAAAUACCUGUGAUUCAAAGAAGUCACAAGUCACAGAGACAAACUUUUCCCAGUGUGUUCGAGUCAGAGAACCUUUGCAAAGACCAACAGGCUAAAAGAGAAAAUACAAUGUCAUG
rnacentral:antisense_RNA from 1 species